GUUAGCCAUUUAACUAACGUACUUAUUAGCUGUCUCUACUACAGUGGUUUAUAGUAGCUGAACAGAGGCGGGCGCUGGUUCCUGCUGUUGGGGUUUUCAUGUGUGUCGUUAUGCCAUAUCUCUAUCUCAAGUUCUGUCCUGAAUAAUUGGAUACGGGUUGAAAAUGGAUUCGCAAGUUGAGCUUCAGCAAACAGCAGAUAACUGCACUUCGGCUGAAUCAACAGAUCAUCCCCCGAGGAUGACCAGACAGCAGACUCUCACCCUAAUAUCAAUGGCAUCUGUCAACUUCAGUUCAAUGAUCUGUUACUCAAUAUUAGGCCCCUUUUUCCCCAAUGAGGCAGUCAAGAAGGGAGCCAGUCAAACUGUCAUUGGUCUCAUAUUUGGCUGCUACGCUGCCUGCAAUUUCAUUGGCUCGUUGAUAAUGGGGAAAUAUAUUGUCCAAAUUGGUGCAAAGUUUAUGCUUGUGAUGGGGCUUUUUGUUUCAUCAGGCUGCACCAUUCUGUUUGGGUUACUCAAUCGGGUACCUGCAGGACCCGUUUUCAUAACCCUGUGCUUCGUAGUGAGGUCCAUAGACGCUUUAGGCUUUGCUGCUGCGAUGACCUCCUCUUUUGCCAUGACAGCAAAAAUAUUCCCAAACAAUGUGGCAACUGUUUUGGGUAGUUUAGAGAUUUUCACAGGACUUGGUCUUAUUCUGGGGCCACCGGUCGGAGGGUGGUUCUACCAGUCUUUUGGAUAUGAAGUCCCUUUUAUGCUUCUUGGAUGUUUCCUGUUGAUUAUGGUUCCAGUCAACAUAUACAUCUUGCCAAAGAUAGAUUCAGCCCCCUCGAAGGAUUCAUUCUUUCGACUUCUCACCAAAGCGAAAAUCGUCCUGAUCUGCUAUGUGAUAUUCACUCAGAGUGCAGGACUGGGCUUAUUGGAUGCCUCUUUGUCCCUGUUUGCUAUGGAGAGGUUUACUCUCUCAUCUGGCUACGUGGGACUCAUAAUGCUCGGUUUGUCGUUACCAUACUGUCUGGCAUCACCGCUGAUUGGGUAUUUUACUGAUAAAUAUCCUUCCACCAGGUCUUGGUUCAUGGUGAUAGGAGGUGUCACCACAGCCAUUGGCUUCUCAAUGCUCGGUCCCGUACCUUUCCUUCACAUCCCGAGUAAUCUGUGGUUGCUGAUCAUCAUGCUUGGUGUAAUUGGGUUUUCUCUGGGCAUGACUGCAAUCCCCACGUUCCCUGAGAUCAUCACAUGUGCAAAGGAACAAGGAUAUGAAGAAGGAUUAAGCAGUCUUGGAAUGGUGUCUGGACUGUUUGGGGCAGUUUGGUCCAUGGGGAUGUUUUAUGGCCCAAUAGUGGGUGGCCUUAUCACGCAACAUCUGAGCUUUGAGUCGGCAGCUGCGGUCCAAGGAGGCUUGGCGCUUUUGGGUUUACUCACAUGAAACUCAAUGACCACACUGUUCUCAGGCCCUUCUCCUCGCUGUGUAUUAUCUGUGUCAUCCCCCGCAACAUCAAAGCGUUCGAGAAGAUAGUCUACGAACAGAUGAAAACACUCCUCUCCUGACUGAAUGAUGCCCUCAGCAACAUGUGGAAGGACGCCAUACCGUACAAAACAUGAUCUUAAUGUCUCAGCUGCUCUGGGCAUCAGCCUCCAAGUUAUACACAUGGUUCCAUUGUUAUUAUUAACAAUAGCUUUUUGAUAUAUUUUAAAGUUACACAUUUUUGGUGUGGCAGGGACUGUGAUGCUUUCUACUUAGAUCAUGGAAAUAUUGGCCUAAAAGCCUAAAAACAAAGCGGUACGAACUUUAAGAUUGUACAAUUUAAAUAGAUUAUUUCACAUUGUAAAUUAUUAUGAAUGAAUAUAGUCAACCACUGGAAAGUCCAGACAAGCUCAAUGUGUCUUUUGUUCUAAAGCUCUGCUGUAUUAAUGAUCUUAGUUUUCUACAUCACAUGAACCGACUUUCAUGUUGAAGUUACACAAGUUAAGAGCUGCUGACCACGUUCAUGGUAACAUGAAGGGAAUAAGCACCGUCAUAGUAAGCCUCAUAACAUUCAGUAUAAUUUAUUGUAACAGGGAGCAUUGUGUCAUAUUUCACUCCAGUUAGUGAUUUUGUAUGUUGUGCCUUCUUUUCCGACUGAACAAUUUGAAGAUGUUUGCACCGAUUUAUUUUGCACUAAAUAAAAACCGUAAAUAUAUGAAGGAAAAACA